AACGGCCGUACCAUGCUAAAUAUACCGGUUCUCGUUAGAUCACCGAAGUUAAGCAUCAUUGGGCGCGGUCAGUACUUGGGUGGGUGACCACCUGGGAACACUGCGUGCCGUU
rnacentral:rRNA from 1 species